CGGGCAGGAGGCCGAGGGAGGAGGGGGAGGGGAGGCAGAAGACGGCAGAGCCCCCGUUUCAUGGAGGCGGAGGCCAGGAAACCUUUGGGAGCCUGGAUCCGGGGAAGCAAACCCGCAGCGCGGAGCCAAGCAAUUACCUCCAAGAAAAAAGGCCGGACUUAGGCUGAGGAGGACCAGACGGGGUUAGUGAUUCGAUUUCCAUCAAGACUAAAGCCACAGGAUUUGGAUCACUGGAGACAGCUGAAGAACCAUGAGUGUAAGGUUACCUCAGACGAUAGACAGGUUAAGUAACCUGUCUUCGCUGAGUGAUUCAGUCUCUGAGCAAAAGACCUCUGACCACCAUCGCCAAUCUUCUGACCCCUGUGAGACCACAGGUAAUCACUCUGGAUCACAAAUACAAAAAUAUCCUGCUUAUAACUACUUGAACAUACACACAGGUUGUUACUCCCAAAUGUAGAUCCACAUAUAUCAGAAGCUU
rnacentral:lncRNA from 1 species